GGCCAUAGAGCACAAAAUCAUCGACUGGUCCACAAUCAUCAUUCGUCAUAUCUACAAAUCAAAUUAGAUCAUGUCAUUAUUCUCAACGUCAACAAACCACCAAUUCUAAAAUCAAGUAUUCCACAUUCUACAAUGUUAGAUAUAAUUGAUGAUUACUAAUAUUCUUAAAGUCUGUUUUAGAACAGGAAUCAUCAGAGUUUAAUCUGGAAGCUGAUCAGAGUUUAGUAAAGUCUGA
rnacentral:lncRNA from 1 species